rnacentral:rRNA from 1 species
ACAUCCGGAAUUUGCUGGAAACAGUGAAGUGCUUUCAUUAGAAAGAGCCCGGUGACAGGUGCUGCAUGGCUGUCGUCAGCUCGUGUCGUGAGAUGUUGGGUUAAGUCCCGCAACGAGCGCAACCCUCGCCUUUAGUUGCCAGCAUUCAGUUGGGCACUCUAAAGGGACUGCCGGUGUCAAACCGGAGGAAGGUGGGGAUGACGUCAAGUCCUCAUGGCCUUUAUGUCUAGGGCUACACACGUACUACAAUGGCAGGUACAAAGGGCAGCGACACAGCGAUGUGAUGCGAAUCCCGAAAAGCCUGUCUCAGUCCGGAUCGGAGUCUGCAACUCGACUCCGUGAAGUUGGAAUCGCUAGUAAUCGUGGAUCAGCAUGCCACGGUGAAUACGUUCCCGGGCCUU